AGAAUGAAAUAUCUUUUUUAACGUAGUGGUUAUGUUGUGUUCAUAUCAGAGGCAUUUAAGAUUUUAAUUUCGGGAAUCCGACCUUACAGAAUCGGUAUGAGGUUAGACGUAUCUAUAUUAGUAGCGUGUGGUUUAUCUUUGGUCUUAUCCCACUCACUCGGAAAUUUGGAUGGUAACAUCAUCAAAGACAGGACAAGACGCCACAUCAGUGAGCUGAAGAUGUCCGAAUACCUCUCCCAAAUCGGCAACAUAUGUAACUCGGUCAACUGUGACUUCCAGGACAUCAUGAUGCUAGGGAAGCGGACUAUAAGUGCGGAACGCCGAGGUUUGUCUGCCUACAGGCUUUGUUGUCGUAGGUAACGCUGGAUUCCUGGUUUCUGGAACCGUAAAACAGAAGAUCUCUUGUAACUGAUCAUUAACCGGUGAUGUACUGCUGAUAAUCUUUCUUCUCCGUGAUCACUUUUUUCUUGGAGGACACUGACUACCCGGAACUGAAAAGCAACACAAUCUUGUAUAAAUAUAAUUCCAGUAAACUUCCUGUCGUCGGCCUGAUAAAUGGUCAUCGGACAUCCUAUCUCUCGCAUACACGUAAACAUGGCGGUAGUUUAUCCGCAUUUUAAUUUAUUUGCAUUAUUUGUUAUUCAUUUGUAUUUCCUGUAGAUAGCGGGUUGUUUUAACAUAUUCCAUGUAGAAGUGCCAUUUUAACCUACACCCCUUAUGUGAUACCAUUACUUUGAAUGUACCUCGCUUUAAAAAAAACCAUAUCGACUUAUACAUGAAAGGGUGACAAGCAUAUAUCAAUAUCACAUUUAUGAUACAAUAUUUGAUGUGGAAGCUUGUAAUGUCUAAUUUCGACUUUCUCAAGACAGUAUACAAGGAAGGGUCUUACAGUAGCGUUUAAAUUGAAAAAAAAAACACAUUCUGUGAACAAUGUAACAUAAUGAUAUAAAUUCUGUAUGAGGUAUUGACUUUUCCGUUUCGUCUCAUCAAUCCGUUAUUGUUAUUGCCAAUUUCUGUUUUAAAAUUUUGAAUUAAUUUAUGAUUUUAAACGAGCCAACAAAAAGUAAAGUCGAUGGACGAAAUAGAUGCUUUUGUCUUUAUUCCAUUAUCUGCGAAUCCAGUUAUAAUGAUCAUUUAGAAACGCGGAUAUUAUCAUCCUAGAUAUACAUCCUUCUCCGAAUUACUGUAAGACAUGCAACUAUACAAAUCGCUCCAGGAAAGGUGAAUAAUUACAAAUCUCUUGAGGUACUUACAAGAAUACCAUUGUCUUUUAUUUCCUAUCAGGUGAAGAAAAUAUAUCAAAUAGAUUAAAAUUGGCACUUUUGAUUAUACAAUGUAUAUCUAAAUCGAAAAUAGAAAACAGUGUUUACUUUUGUUGAAAAAUAAUAAAAUACACUAUAUGACAA